UACAGAGGGUGCAAGCGUUGUUCGGAAUUAUUGGCCGUAAAGGGAGUGUAGGCGGCUUGUUAAGUCUUCUGUGAAAUCUACGGGCUUAGCCUGUAACGUGCAGAGGAAACUGGCGAGCUUGAGUGUCGGAGAGGAUAGGGGAAUACCCAGUGUAGAGGUGAAAUUCGUAGAGAUUGGGUGGAACACCAGUGGCGAAGGCGCCUAUCUGGCUGACAACUGACGCUGAGACUCGAAAGCAUGGGGAGCAAACAGG
rnacentral:rRNA from 1 species